AACGAACGCUGGCGGCAUGCCUAACACAUGCAAGUCGAACGAGACCUUCGGGUCUAGUGGCGCAAGGGUGCGUAACGCGUGGGAACCUGCCCUUAGGUUCGGAAUAACUCCCCGAAAGGGGUGCUAAUACCGGAUAAUGUCUUCGGACCAAAGAUUUAUCGCCUUUGGAUGGGCCCGCGUUGGAUUAGCUAGUUGGUAGGGUAAAAGCCUACCAAGGCGACGAUCCAUAGCUGGGCUGAGAGGAUGAUCAGCCACACUGGGACUGAGACACGGCCCAGACUCCUACGGGAGGCAGCAGUGGGGAAUAUUAGACAAUGGGCGAAAGCCUGAUCCAGCAAUGCCGCGUGAGUGAUGAAGGCCUUAGGGUUGUAAAGCUCUUUUACCCGGGAUGAUAAUGACAGUACCGGGAGAAUAAGCACCGGCUAACUCCGUG
rnacentral:rRNA from 1 species